rnacentral:misc_RNA from 1 species
GAUGAAGAACGCAGCGAAAUGCGAAAAGUAAUGUGAAUUGCAGAAUUCAGUGAAUCAUCGAAUCUUUGAACGCACAUUGCGCCCGCUGGUACUCCGGCGGGCACGCCUGUCCGAGCGUCAUUUCAACCCUCAAGCCCUCCUUCGGGAUGGGCCUGGUGUUGGGGCUCGGCCGCCAUCUCCGGGGCCGUCCCCUAAAUACAGUGGCGGUCACGUCGCGACUCCUUUGCGUAGUAGAAACACCUCGCUCCGGAUAGCAACGCGGUCCACGCCGUAAAACCACCAAUUUUCAAUGGUUGACCUCGGAUCAGGUGGGAAUACCCGCUGAACUUAAGCAUAUCAAUAAGCGGAGGA